ACGGGUUACGGGAUAAACCUGAGGCAUGAGUGAUAUCGUGAAUACAUGAGAUGACUUUUGUGUGCGUGUGUGCAUCUCUUUUCUCUAAGGGACGUUAAACAUUCGGCGAACCAACACUAGGAGCUCCUGAGGAAGGAAAAAAAAAAAGAAAAGAACGUGGAGCCCCUGAAACAGACAAAGCACAAUGAGGCUUCUGUUGUUACAGCGACUCCCCCCUCCGUCCCCACGACACAUCUGCAGAACCAUGAACAGAUGUCUGAGGAAGCUUUCUUUCGGCCAGCGCAUCGCACACCUCCAUUUAUCAUUCUGUUUUCUCAGUCGCCACUUCUAGUUCCUUUCCUCUGGUUCCUUUCCUCUGGUCCUGGUCCUCUGGUCUGGUCCUCUGGUCUUGAUCCUCUGGUCCUGAUCCUCUGGUCCUGGUCGUCUGGUUCCUCUCCUCUAGUUCGUACCUCUCACAACGCUGUUUUAACAAACAUGUAAAUACUCACAGAGUCAAAACCGACCGAGUCAAAGAUGUAGACUCAUCCUAUUCCAGCAAAACCAGGACCACCGGGGACACAUCGCCCCCCCCGGUCAUGUUUCGAGGCUCCUGCUUGCGGUGGCGUCUCAAUUACCCCAUAUUACAUGCUGCUUCCCUGCAGCUUCUUUCUCUCAUAAUCUGAAUCCAAAUACUUUGUUGAUCCUCAGGGGGAAAUCUGAACGUGAAAUAGAAGAAACAACUAAAAUGCAAUAAACUAAAAUAUGAGGUGGACGCUGCCAUCAUGACGUCACUCACUGUUUGGUGGAUUGUUGGAAUCCGGCCGUCACCAUGUUGUUUUUGUUACCAUAGGCUGCAGCCUUGGAGUAUAAUGUAUAUUUCUACUUCAGAAUAAUAAGAAAUACAGAUUAAUUAUAUUUGGAUGCACGGGUUUCAUCCUGAUUUCGUGUCUGUGAAACAAACUAAGAGCUCUUUGCUCUUUCUGGGGAAGUUGGGAGCCGACCUUCCAUCAGCCGAUAAUUACUGUAAUUAGUAGUCCGGCUUUUCAAGAGCCCAACGGAGAGAGCGGCAGGCAUGUCGGGGGAGGGGGUGGGGCAAGUGCCUUUGGCAGGCAGUUAAGUUCACGGAGGCAGAACUUAUUUUCGGGUGAAGGAAAAGAAGAAAACUGGGGAGUCCGCUGUGAGAAACAACACACUCAGGAAUUUACAGUUGGCCUCAUAAAGCCAAUGAAAAGCAGAGCUCUAAAACAGCCGGCGCUGUCGGCUGAAGGUAAUCACAUGAGAGGAAGGAAAGACCGAGGCCAGCUAAAGAGCUCGGAGUGGACAACAAGCAGGCGGACACAACGACACACGCUGCUCCUCGCCAAUCAUUAAUGACCGAGCAUCGCUGCGGAUUCGCCCCUGCUGAUAAUUACCUGAACACCGUGAAAGGUGAUACAUGCGAACCGAGCGCCGGACUAUUAACCACCCCAGCAGCUGUCGCCGUGUGAAGGUGCUCGUUCGGGUUUCAGUACGCUUUAUAGCUCAAGGGAGGUGGGUGGGGGGGUGUCCCUAUGGCCGACAGGAAAAGCAGAGUCCAAAAUGACAGUUAACGGAGGUGAAAGCGCAAACCCCAAGUGGUUCGGGGGCCCCGACGGUCCUGAAUGAAUAUGUAAACAAAGGCGAGCUGGAUUUCCCUCCGACAUCUGAGUGAACUCCAUCCCGACACGUCCCACUGUUAAAUUAGCACACUAACCGCCGAGGCCUUCCGGGGGUCACGGGGAGGACGGUGGAGAGAAAAGGGGCCCCAUGCCGGCGAUAGUAUAGGAGCUCUGUGCUUGUUUUGUUUUGUUGUUUGUUUGCCAUCCGGCACCUUGUUUACCGUCAGCACGUAGGGUCAACAUUUAGACCCUGGCUGCUUUCUCACAGAGCAGAACACAACAAAGACAGGAGUCUGCUAGUCUGCACAUGGAGGCCCCCCUUACCAUGCCAAUCGGCCCAUGUGACGAACCAGGUCAAGUAUGCAAACUCUCGUGAGUAUGACCGACUCACAGUGGGACGAGAAGUGCUGGUGGAAGACGAUUUAGUGGCAAUUUGCGGCAAAAAGACAACGUAUGAGGGGAACAUUGUCCGUCCACGGAGGCGUUUGCCCACUGUCAUGGCGAACAUGUUCGUGGUGUGAGGGAAGAACGUCCAGAUAACUGCAUCGACAAUCACAUCAUCCGUUUCCCUCGUUACAAAUAUAAAAUUGCGCCCCCAGAGCUCAUUACGCUCAAUGGUUUUGGCUUCAACUGCGAGCGAAAAAAAAAAGAAUCCUCGAUAUCGUUGUUUUCCGAUUACUUUGAGCUCAACUCGACCCGGCUUCCAACUUCUGGAGGCCGUCAAUGUCCAGCGAUGACUUCUCAGCUCGGUAAUUGGUGUUUUCCUGCUGAAAGGUUUUCCCCUGUUCUCUUGUUUUACCUCUGGCAGGGGGGGGGUUGGACCCUAUCCAAAGAGGACGCAUCCUCUCAGCCUAAACACUCUCACUCUGGAUGUGGAGGAGGACACCUUCGAAUCGGCGAUGCACCCGAACCCGCUCACUCGCUGGAGGAAGUUGUUACACAAAGUCGAGGAUUCUGAGGAGGGCUCUGCUUUAUGUCCCGGGCACGGAACAACACUCGGGGCGACGGCUGGGGAACUC
ensembl:lncRNA